GCAGUGGGUGGAGCCUAUGGGCCCAGAGGGGUGGGAAUACGUUCUCUCCAUCCGCCCCCAUCUCCACCCUCUCCACCUUCCCCCGCUCUUCCUAGGCGGGAGCCCCGCCCCCUAGGGCGGGCGCAAUGAACCGCUAGGUUCCAGGAGAAGGAUUGACACAAAGAGAAUCCAACCGGGAGGAGCAGAGUCUCGGCGGACUCCCGGCAGGGAUUUUGGUGCAGUGCCUGAUUCCGGGCGAGGCCCGGCGGGAGCCGACUGGGAAAGUCCGGGCUGCUGACACUCCGCCCCGCGAGCUGUUUUCCCUGACCCAUGUCAUUCUGUUGAUACCAGAACAGAUAUUAAGUACCAUAUAUGGGAAAAGUGCUAUUUUACAAUGCAGAUGGCCUGUGGGGGUGGACCUGGACUCAAGCCCCGGAUCCGUUGUGAGCGCCCUGAGUUCCAUUUCUGACCCUGUCUUUGGAGUGCGCACGCUGCAGUCUCAGCCUCCAGACCUCUGCGCCGGUGGGUUCCUUCAACCUGGAGUGCCCUUCCGAGCCUCUCUUUACCUCCACGUGGUUAACUCGCACACUUCCUUUCAAAUAUUUGUUGCAAAAUGUUUUCUUGGGGUUCUUCAGGUUGGCAAAGCCCACUGUGUGUGUGUGUCUGUGUGUGUAUGUGUUACUGCCCACAACAAGAGGAUUACAGAAUUUUUUUUAAUUUUUGAAAGAUUUUGUUACAUUUUUAAUCCAUCUGGAAUUCAUUUUAAUUUUGGAGUGGGAAAGAAAUUGAAUAUAAUUUUUGUAAUAGCCAGCUGUCCACACACCAUCAUCACCUACCAACUCAUAUAUUCUUGGAUCUGUUUCUGAGAUGUAUCCAUUCGUCUUUCUGUGUGUUCCUGUGCCAAUUCCACAAUACUUUAAGGAUGGUAGCUUUAUAAUACAUUUUAUAUCUAAGAGGGAAAAUUUCUCAUUACUCUUUACUUUUGGAAUGUUCUUCCUACUGUGACUAAACCAGUCUUCCAAAUGAGCUUCAAAAGAAGUAUGAUCUAUAGGCAAGACAAAACUGGAAAAAAGAUUUUGCAACUCUGUGACAAAGAAUUAUCAACAAUAUGUGAAUAUCAACAAUAUGCGUCCAUAAGGUAAACCCCAAAUGUUUUAAAAAUGGUCCAAAAAGGAACAGUCUAUUUAAAAAGAAGAAAUAAAAAUGGCCAGUAAUUAUGAAAAAAUGAGUCAUCUGAAUGCAAACAAAACUCCAUGGAAUGCCAUUUUUCACCUAUGAAGUUUUUUAAAAAAGAAUAAAAAUGUCCACCAUCAGCCAGGUUUAGAGAUUACAGGUUGUUCCAGAACACCGGCUAUGGGUGCCCUGCUUCAAGCAUCAAAUUCACACUGGUUAUCUAUUUUACAUGAGCACCUUCUCCAGAAACCGAGGUCCCUAAGAAGAUGGAAGGCCUGUCAGCUGAGCUCUGAAUUCUCUCCUCAUCUACUAGCCUGGAUGCCUUCCUACUUCAGGAAGCCCUCCUGCUUACUGUCCAACCUAACCCUUCCUCUGUCCCCUAGAACCUACACCCUGGUGGUAUUUUAGAAAAAUAUUUUAUCUAUUUUGUCUGAGUAUUAAAAUAGUAUUGUGGUUGGUGUACAUGCGUGCUAAGUUGCUUCAGUUGUGUCCAACUCUUUGCGACCCUAUGUACAGGCUGUAACCUGCCAGGCUCCUCUGUCCAUGGGAUUUCCCA